rnacentral:rRNA from 1 species
GUGGGGAAUAUUGGACAAUGGGCGAAAGCCUGAUCCAGCCAUGCCGCGUGUGUGAAGAAGGUCUUCGGAUUGUAAAGCACUUUAAGUUGGGAGGAAGGGCAGUAAGUUAAUACCUUGCUGUUUUGACGUUACCAACAGAAUAAGCACCGGCUAACUUCGUGCCAGCAGCCGCGGUAAUACGAAGGGUGCAAGCGUUAAUCGGAAUUACUGGGCGUAAAGCGCGCGUAGGUGGUUCAGCAAGUUGGAGGUGAAAUCCCCGGGCUCAACCUGGGAACUGCCUCAAAAACUACUGAGCUAGAGUACGGUAGAGGGUAGUGGAAUUUCCUGUGUAGCGGUGAAAUGCGUAGAUAUAGGAAGGAACACCAGUGGCGAAGGCGACUACCUGGACUGAUACUGACACUGAGGUGCGAAAGCGUGGGGAGCAAACAGGAUUAGAUACCCUUGUAGUCC